rnacentral:rRNA from 1 species
UACGUAGGGACCGAGCGUUGUCCGGAUUCAUUGGGCGUAAAGAGCUCGUAGGCGGCCACUCACGUCGAAUGUGAAACCUCGAGGCUCAACCUCGAGCCUGCAUUCGAUACUGGGCGGCUAGAGUCUGGUAGGGGGAUCUGGAAUUCCUGGUGUAGCGGUGGAAUGCGCAGAUAUCUGGAGGAACACCGGUGGCGAAAGCGGCUCACUGGACCGUCUCUGACGCUGAGGUGCGAAAGCCAGGGUAGCGAACGGG